rnacentral:rRNA from 1 species
AACGAACGCUGGCGGCGUGGAUUAGGCAUGCAAGUCGAACGAGAAUCUAUUAGUUCAAGUUUUCGGACAAGAACUUUUGGAGGACAGUGGCGGAAGGGUGAGGAAUACAUGGGUAAUCUAUCUUCAAGUUGGGUAUAACUUCUCGAAAGGGGAGAUAAUCCCUGAUGUGGUGAUCCGGCGCAUGCCGGAGAAACUAAAGGUGGGGACCGCAAGGCCUGCCGCUUGAUGAGGAACCCGUGCACUAUCAGCUUGUUGGUGAGGUAAUGGCUCACCAAGGCUUUGACGGUUAGCUGGUCUGAGAGGAUGGUCAGCCACACUGGGACUGAGAUACUGCCCAGACUCCGUACGGGAGGCUGCAGUCGAGAAUCAUUCGCAAUGGGACGAAAGCCUGACGAUGCGACGUCGCGUGGAGGAUGAAGGUCGUUCGGUAUUAGUAAACCGCUGUCGAGGGGGA